rnacentral:rRNA from 1 species
UACAGAGGUCUCAAGCGUUGUUCGGAUUCAUUGGGCGUAAAGGGUGCGUAGGCGGCGCGGUAAGUCGGGUGUGAAAUCUCGGGGCUUAACUCCGAAACUGCAUUCGAUACUGCCGUGCUUGAGGACUGGAGAGGAGACUGGAAUUUACGGUGUAGCAGUGAAAUGCGUAGAGAUCGUAAGGAAGACCAGUGGCGAAGGCGGGUCUCUGGACAGUUCCUGACGCUGAGGCACGAAGGCCAGGGGAGCAAACGGG